AUCACUUUAGGAUUGGGUUCGUCUUUUAUUAAGUGGAAUUGGAGAAUAGAAUCAAGAUGCCGUGGACAUCCUCCUUGGUGAAUUACAGCAGCAAGUGUGUUCGCUUGGUGGUCUUCUUUCGUGUCAUUCUGUAAUUUGUUUUGGAUUGGGGGCAAUUCAAACAUUGAGUUUGUUGGUCUAUAUUACUUUUGCGGUUUUUUCACUUUUAUAUUACUGGUUGGAGGAGUGAGAAUGUGCAUUGGUAUAACGGGAAAGAGAAACAGAGCUGUCGAGGAAAUUGGGAAAGUUAACAUGAGUGUUGGAAUCAUUGCCUACUACCAAGUAAUGCAAGUUUGUCAGGCCGAGUAUUUUCGCCAGUUGCUAAAGCCUGUCACGUAGGAUAGCAUUGCAAAAAGCAUUUGGACAUUGGGGAGUUAGGUGGACUGGCCUCCAGUUGUG
rnacentral:misc_RNA from 1 species